UAAGUCCCGCAACGAGCGNAACCCCUGUCCUAUGUUGCCAGCAUUUAGUUGGGGACUCAUAGGAGACUGCCGGUGAUAAACCGGAGGAAGGUGGGGACGACGUCAAGUCAUCAUGGCCCUUACGUGUAGGGCUACACACGUGCUACAAUGGCAUUUACAGAGGGAAGCGAGACAGUGAUGUGGAGCGGACCCCUUAAAGAAUGUCGUAGUCCGGAUUGGAGUCUGCAACUCGACUCCAUGAAGUCGGAAUCGCUAGUAACCGCAGGUCAGAAUACUGCGGUGAAUACGUUCCCGGGCCUU
rnacentral:rRNA from 1 species